CCUACGGGUGGCAGCAGUGGGGAAUAUUGGACAAUGGUGGGGACCCUGAUCCAGCGACGCCGCGUGAGUGAGGAAGUAUUUGGGUAUGUAAAGCUCUAUCAGCAGGGAAGAAAGAAAUGACGGUACCUGACUAAGAAGCCCCGGCUAACUACGUGCCAGCAGCCGCGGUAACACAGAGGGGGCAAGCGUUAUCCGGAUUUACUGGGUGUAAGGGUAGCGUAGGCGGCCUGCCAAGUCUGAUGUGAAAUACCGGGGCGCAACCCCGGGGCUGCAUUGGAAACUGGCAGGCUGGAGUGCCGGAGAGGCAGGCGGAAUGCCUAGUGUAGCGGUGAAAUGCGUAGAUAUCAGGAGGAACACCAGUGGCGAAGGCGGCCUGCUGGACGGUGACUGACGCUGAGGCUCGAAAGCGUGGGGAGCAAACAGGAUUAGAUACCCCUGUAGUC
rnacentral:rRNA from 1 species